CGCCUCCUGCGGCGCAACCUCGUGUCGGAGACGCUGCACCCGUCGCGCGUCCGCCUCUUCGCGCCGGCGCGCGCCUGGGUGCGCCGUGUGCUUGCGGACAAGCUGCUGCGGGAGUCCGGCUCCGGCCCCGGCGUGGAGGCGGCGCCCCGCGGGGUCAUGGUCACGGAGGCGUUCCGGUACGCCAUGUUCUGCCUCCUCGUGCUCGUGUGCUUUGGCGAGAGGCUCGACGAGGCCGCGGUGCGGGCGGUCGGCGCCGCGCAGCGCGACUGGCUCCUGUACGUCGCGCGCAAGACGAGUGUCUUCGCCUUCUGGCCGGCUGUCACCAAGCACCUGUUUCGCGGCCGUCUCAAGAGGGGCCUCGCCCUGCGCCGGCGGCAGAAGGAGCUCUUCCUGCCGCUGAUUGACGCGCGGCGGGAGCGCAAGAAGCAGAUCGACCGAGGCGCCGGCGUGGCGUUGCCGACGGCGGAGACGACGUUCGAGCACUCGUACGUGGACACCCUGCUCGACAUCAAGCUCCCUGAAGAAGAGGCUGGCCGCGCGCUCACGGACGACGAGAUGGUCAUACUCUGCUCCGAAUUCCUUAUCGCCGGAACCGACACCACCGCCACCGGGCUGCAAUGGAUCAUGGCUGAGCUCGUCAAGAACCCGGCCAUCCAGGAGAAGCUCUAUAACGAGAUCAGCACCACAACUGGUGGCGACCAGGAAGAGGUCUCCGAGGAGGAUAUCCACAAGAUGCCUUACCUCAAAGCCGUCGUCCUCGAGGGACUGCGCAGGCACCCACCGGCGCACUUCGUGCUGCCGCACAAGGCGAUGGAGGACAUGGAGAUUGACGGGUACCUGAUCCCGAAGGGCGCCACUGUGAACUUCAUGGUGGCCGAGAUGGGCAGGGACGAGCGGGAGUGGGAGAAGCCGAUGGAGUUCGUGCCAGAGCGAUUCUUGCCGGGCGGCGACGGCGAGGGGGUGGAUGUGGCCGGCAGCAGGGAGAUCAGGAUGAUGCCGUUCGGCGUCGGGAGGAGGAUCUGCGCCGGGCUCGGCGUCGCCAUGCUUCACCUGGAGUACUUCGUGGCCAAUUUGGUCAAUGAGUUCGAGUGGCGUGAGGUUCCAGGCGACGAGGUGGACUUCGCCGAGAAGCCGGAGUUCACCGUCGUCAUGGCCAAGCCGCUAUGCGCGAGGUUGGUGCCCAGAAGCAGGAGCUGA
rnacentral:rRNA from 1 species